rnacentral:tRNA from 1 species
AGCCCCGUAGUGUAGCGGCCAAGCAUAAUGGACUCUGAAUCCAUUGACGGCAGUUCGAAUCUGCCCGGGGCUA